ACUCAAAUGAAUAGACGGGGACCCGCACAAGCGGUGGAGUAUGUGGCUUAAUUCGAUGCAACGCGAAGAACCUUACCUGGGCUUGACAUGUAUUGUAACCCCGGUGAAAGCCGGGCAGCAUGGAAACAUGCGCUUUACACAGGUGCUGCAUGGCUGUCGUCAGCUCGUGUCGUGAGAUGUUGGGUUAAGUCCCGCAACGAGCGCAACCCUUAUGGUUUGUUGCCACUGGUUCAUUCCAAGCACUCAAAUCAGACUGCCCAGAUUAACUGGGAGGAAGGUGGGGAUGACGUCAAGUCCGUAUGGCCCUUACGUCCAGGGCUGCACACGUACUACAAUGUCCAGUACAAAAUGAUCUGAAGCUGCGAAGCGGAAGAAAUCACCAAAACUGGGCUCAGUUCAGAUUGCAGGCUGCAACUCGCCUGCAUGAAGUCGGAAUCGCUAGUAAUGGCGCAUCAGCAACGGCGCCGUGAAUACGUUCCCGGGUCUUGUACACACCGCCCGU
rnacentral:rRNA from 1 species